GUGGGCUUGUGUGUGUACCUGAUAGUGUGUGCGCCUGAUAGUGCGUGAGUUGUGUGUGCGCAUGAUAGUGCGUGAGCUGUGUGUGUGCGCAUGAUAGUGUGAGAGCUUGUGUGUGUGUGUGUCAGAGAGCUUGUCUGUAGUGAACUUGUGUGUGUGUGUCAGAGAGCUUGUCUGUAGUGAACUUGUGUGUGUGAGUUUGUAGUGAGCAUGUGUGUGUCACUGAGCUUGUUUGUCAGUGAGCUUAUGUGUAAGCGAUGUGUGUGUCAGCUAGCUUUUCUGUAGUGAGCAUGUGUCUGUAGUGAGUAUGUGUGUCAAUGAGUUUGUCUGUAGUGAGCUUGUGUGUGUCAGUGAG